AUGAACGCUGGCGGCGUGCCUAAUACAUGCAAGUCGAGCGAACAGAUGAGGAGCUUGCUCCUCUGACGUUAGCGGCGGACGGGUGAGUAACACGUGGAUAACCUACCUAUAAGACUGGGAUAACUUCGGGAAACCGGAGCUAAUACCGGAUAAUAUAUUGAACCGCAUGGUUCAAUAGUGAAAGACGGUUUUGCUGUCACUUAUAGAUGGAUCCGCGCCGCAUUAGCUAGUUGGUAAGGUAACGGCUUACCAAGGCAACGAUGCGUAGCCGACCUGAGAGGGUGAUCGGCCACACUGGAACUGGGACACGGUCCAGACGCCUACGGGAGGCAGCAGUAGGGAAUCUUCCGCAAUGGGCGAAAGCCUGACGGAGCAACGCCGCGUGAGUGAUGAAGGUCUUCGGAUCGUAAAACUCUGUUAUUAGGGAAGAACAAAUGUGUAAGUAACUAUGCACGUCUUGACGGUACCUAAUCAGAAAGCCACGGCUAACUACGUG
rnacentral:rRNA from 1 species